rnacentral:lncRNA from 1 species
UACACAUGAUAUCCAUAAGAAUUGAACUUAUUCUAUUAGUUAGUUAACUUUAUUUGCUGACUAACUAAAGGUGGAUAUUCUUGCCACCAAAACUAUUCACCUUGGACAAAGAUUCCAAUUUCGACAAAGAUAAAACGGCCACCUUUUCAUACCCACUUUACAAAAAGAAUACUAACACAACAAGGACUAAAGCACAUGGCUUUGUAGAUAUAAAAACAUAGCGAAACUCAUACUACGUCAUACUAAACAUCCAUCCUCUUGUUCUUUUAGAUUAUGCACUAGAUUCAAGUAGUUCAAACUAGAGGAACAGGGAUAGAUGGAUCUGCGCACUACAAAAUAAACUAAACAAUUUAACUACAACAAAGAAACUGGUUACAAAUAUGCAGGUUUUAGCACUCAAACAUUCGGCGAAUCCUUUGAGAAAAUUGCUCGAAACUAUCAAGAAAAGAAACCUGCAUUACAAAGGUUUAUAAAGUUACCUGGAUAGCAGAAAGUAAAAGUGUUAGGAAUGACUGAAAUAACAGAAACCAGUAGCAACAAACAGCAUCAACCAACAGCUCUUAAACCAAAGAGACUGAACCAAAGAUGACCAACGAAGUAAUUGAAACCCGCAAUUAGUCACUCUAGAAAUUUACAAGAUCCCUCUACUUUCUUAAAUGUUUUGCACUUAAGAAUCGACUCAAAAAGCUCAUGAGUUUCAGCUUUCUUUUCAGCUUACUAUAGAUGUUAAGUUGAUCUUUUUUUUUCUCUCAAGUUUAGUGUUCCUUUUUCAGUGAAUCAGUAUCCCUAUUCUAAGUGUUAGAGAGUGUCUUUUAUAGGGGAAGAAAACCAUUUAAAUAGGCAAAUAAAGUCAGAUUUUUUGGACAGAUUUUGGUUCACCAAAAGUCUGUCCAAAAUACUGACUUUGUGUGCUAAACACUGUUCAAACUCUGUCCAAAAGGUGAAAGGACAACCUGAAGAUCUGCUAUGUCAGAAGUAAGGAGAAAAAAUAUCAUUUCAGCCACCCUACUAGUAUAGUAGGCUACUAUUAUCCUAUUUUGUGAUAAAAUAAUCUAAACUUCAGAUUUUAACCACACCAAUACCACCAUAUUGAUUUUGAACCAAAUCAAACUCAAACAACUAAGAAUUGACAAAACAGAAACAAGACUUCAAAUGGAACUAAAACUCAAACUAACUCGAUUAAAACAAAUUGAUUUGUGCAAACUAAAUAUAGAACAAAAAAACUAGAUUCACAAACUAAUGCUCAAAACAGAACGAGCAUCGUUAACAAUCGGGCGACGAUGUUCAACAAUUAAAUAAUUGAUUAACUAAGCAAACGAUUAAACUAAUACACAAGAGAUUAUGUUUAAUUAACAAUAGUCUAAAAAAUAACUAAACUAAAUAGAGAUAACUAAUUAUAUAAAUCUAACUUGAAACUCUAAUUAACAAUAACAAAUCCAAAACGGAAAAAUUAAAAUUGGGAACUACAAUUAAAAUCAAGAACUAACCUAGUACUACUAAAAAUAAAUCGAAAAUUAAGUAAAGAGAUGACGAUUAUACCUAACGACCGUGCUUGAAGCUGUUCAAGCCACGAAAAGACAUUGAAGAUGCCAAGAAGUGGUUUUCCGACCAUGGAACGCUUAUUUCAUUUAGGUAGACACCAAAUUCAAUGAACUUGGUGUUAUACCAAAAGGAAAUGAGUGUUCUUGUGCCGGAAUUAGGCUGAAACAGAGGAGGAGUGGGGCGAGUGGUCGCGGUAGUGGAGUGGCAGUGUGAGUGGGUCGGCGGGCAGCGGGGUAGUGGGGCAUUUGGGGUGGAAAUUGACAUGAAAAUAUACGUCUCGUGGGAGUCUAUCCGUUUAGGUAUGUGUCAUGGGGUGGAGAUGCCAUGAAUCGUGGGAAUUUGGGCAAAAUGGGUGGCGGCUAGGGUUCCCUAGAUCAGAAAUUCGUGGAGUUUGAGAGGGGUUUGAAGGAUUUGGUCUGAAGAUAUGGAAAAAGGAGGUGUUGGAGAUUACAUGGUGAAAUUUUGGGGGUGUUUGGACCAACCGCCGCGGCGGCAGACGGUGGUAGAGGCGGCGAACGAGAGAGAGCGAGAGGAGGGAGCUAGGGUUUGGUUAUGGAGUGAAAUG